rnacentral:lncRNA from 1 species
CACCUAGCUAGACCAAUAUGCCAUAAUCUGUGCGGAUCUGCAGCAACAACAAGUAGGAACGGUUUCUAUACAUACAACUAGGACAGUUGAAGUGCAGCUACCAAAUUAAACAAGGUGGAACAAAUAAUUACCAAUAUAUAUAUAAUAUGUUCAACGGUACCUGCCCUCCAUCUUUUAAUUGCUAAACUUGUUGGAUGCAACGCAAGCAGCAGCUUAUAUUCAUCAUCUGCCUCCUCAGCAAUGGAAUAGACACCUCCAUGUUAUUAUUUCGGGUACCAUUAUGUAAUUCUACAUGAGUAGGUUAAGUAUAUAUACUUACAAGGAGACUUACUUAAGUCAUUCAUCACAAUCUGCCGCCUCCUAUGCAUGAAUAAAAUCUCCUCUAUUCUUCCGUGGAAUAGUCGAUCACUCUGAUCGGAAACCACAUAAAUCCGUAUCUUGUUCAUCGUGUUAUUGGUCAUUUAUACUUCAACCCACCAACCUUGCAUCCAACUCUCAUUUCAGAGCAAUGCCAUCCCAGCAGUGAAAGGACAUUCUUGCAGAUGCCGAAUGCUGACUCUCAACUACGUCAGAUGGCUGAAAGUGUGAGCAGCUUUAUACUUGGGGAUUACAGUUACCAAAAAUCAUCAUAUACUGGAAUCUCCUGAGUAUAAAGCUGUUCACCCUUUUCGACCAUCUAGACACAGUUGAGACUCAACGUUCGACGUCUGCGAAGAACUUCCUUUCCACUUCUGGGACGAUAUUGCUCUGAAACGAGAGUCGGAUGCAAUGUUGGUGGUUUAAAGGUGUUUAAUUCCAUGCCUCAGGGCUGUUCCAUAGUCCUCGUGAGCAUAUGAAUAUGAGGUUUCUUCCCUUGCGAAAUUCCACAAGUUAAGCAACAAAAAUAAAUGGAGGCCAGCUAAGCCUCCCCGCCUGCUCUACGUACAAAUAUAACCCGAUUGUCGGUUUUUGCUGCAGAUUGACAGAGAUUGAGAUAUAUUGUUCUAGGUGUUGUGGGAUACAGGUGGAAUCAAGCCACCUCCCAGUCCAUAAUUUGAGAAGGUCAUGUAAUCU